rnacentral:rRNA from 1 species
CCUACGGGUGGCUGCAGUGGGGAAUUUUGGACAAUGGGCGCAAGCCUGAUCCAGCAAUGCCGCGUGCAGGAUGAAGGCCUUCGGGUUGUAAACUGCUUUUGUACGGAACGAAACGGCUCUCUCUAAUACAGGGGGCUAAUGACGGUACCGUAAGAAUAAGCACCGGCUAACUACGUGCCAGCAGCUGCGGUAAUACGUACGGUGCAAGCGUUAAUCGGGAUUACUGGGCGUAAAGCGUGCGAAGGAUGUGAAAUCCCCGGGCUCAACCUGGGACCUGCAUUUGUGACUGUAUAGCUAGAGUACGGCAGAGGGGGAUGGAAUUCCGCGUGUAGCAGUGAAAUGCGUAGAUAUGCGGAGGAACACCGAUGGCGAAGGCAAUCCCCUGGGCCUGUACUGACGCUCAUGCACGAAAGCGUGGGGAGCAAACAGGAUUAGAUACCCUGGUAGUC